GGGUUGUGAGGUUAAGCGACUAAGCGUACACGGUGGAUGCCCUGGCAGUCAGAGGCGAUGAAGGACGUGCUAAUCUGCGAUAAGCGUCGGUAAGGUGAUAUGAACCGUUAUAACCGGCGAUUUCCGAAUGGGGAAACCCAGUGUGAUUCGUCACACUAUCAUUAACUGAAUCCAUAGGUUAAUGAGGCGAACCGGGGG
rnacentral:rRNA from 1 species